GGUUUGAUUCUGGCUCAGAUUUGAACGCUGGCGGGAUGCUUUACACAUGCAAGUCGAACGGCAGCAGCCGACUUCGGUCUGGUGGCGAGCGGCGAAACGGCAUGUAAUGUAUCGUAACCGUGCCUAGUAUGGGGAUAACUACGCGAAAGCGUAGCUAAUACCGCAUACGCCCUUCGGGGAAAGCGGGGACCUUCGCCCACACCAGAGCUGGCCGAUAUCGGAUUAGCUGUUGUGGUAACGGCUCACUACAUAAGACGAUCCGUAGCUGGUUUGAGAGGACGACCAGCCACACUGGGACUGGAGACACGGCCCAGACCUUGCCGCAGGCAGUGGGGAAUUUUUGGAGGUUUUAAACUGAUCCAGCCAUCCCGCGUGUGCGAUGAAGGCCUUCGUUGUAAAGCACUUUGGCAGGAAGAAACGGCACGAUAAUACCCCGUGCAACUGAUUGCACCUGUACGUUAUUCGGCUGGUCCAUGCACAGCAGCCGCGGUAAUACGUAGGGUGCAAGCGUUAAUCUGGAAUUACUGGGCGUAAAGCGUGCGCAGGCGGUUCGGAAAGAAAGAUGUGAAAUCCCAGAAACAUAACUUUGAACUGCUAACUACCGAGCUAGAGUGUGUCAGAGGGAGGUGAAUUCCGCGUGUAGCAGUGGGAACGCGUAGAUAUGCGGAGGAACACCGAUGGCGAAGGCAAGCCUCCUGGGAUAACACUGACGCUCUUUCAUGCACGAAAGCGUAGAGUAAACAGGAUUGAUACCUGGUAGCCCACGCCCUAAACGAUGUCAACUAGCUGUUGGGGCCUUCUUCGGGCUCCGGUAGCGCAGCUAACGCGUGAAGUUGACCGCCUGUGUAUACGGUCGCAAGAUUAAAACUCAAAGGAAUUGACGGGGACCCGCACAAGCGGUGGAUGAUGUGAUUAAUUCGAGCGUACGAAAAACUCAUCUACUCUUGACAUGUCUGGAAUCCCGAAGAGAUUUGGGAGUGCUCGCAAGAGAACCGAACACAGGUGCUGCAUGGCUGUCGUCAGCUCGUGUCGUGAGAUGUUGGGUUAAGUCCCGCAACGAGCGCAACUCUGUUUGCUGGUUGUUACGAAAGGGCACUCUAAUGAGACUUGCCGGUGACAAACCGGAGUGAAGGUGAUGACGCCUAGUCUCAAGUGGGCUCUUAUGGGUAAGGGCUUCACGCCUACAACGGCUGACAGAGGGUCGCCAACCCGCGAGGGGGAGCCAAUCCCAGAAACCCGAUCGUGAGUCCGACUGUAGUCUGCAACUGACUGAAGUCGGAAUCGCUAGUAAUCGCGGAUCAGCAUGUCGCGGUGAAUACGUUCCCGGGUCUUGUACACACCGCCCGUCACACCAUGGGAGUGGGUUUUACCAGAAGUAGUUAGCCUAACCGCAGGAGGGCGAUUACCACGGUAGGAUUCAUGAUCGGGGCAGUUGUAAUAAGUGC
rnacentral:rRNA from 1 species